AGCUGCCCUGCGCCAGCUGCCCCCCGCCAGGGCAGCUGCUCCUCAGCCAGCCGGGACACUGGGCCUGCGGAGAGACGGCCUGCAAGAGGGGCCAUUCCACCUGGAGCUGUUCUCUCAGCAGCGCAAGAUGCAGUUACCUUCUACCCGCUUCGUGGUCAAAACUGUUUCUUCGUCACGGCACGUGGACUGGACAGAUGCCACCUCCCUGUUAGUCUGGGAGGACCUCAGGGCAACGAGGCGGUCGCAGCAUGCACACAGGUAGGUGACAGGGAUCUUCUUGCGCUGGUCUUUUUUUUCUGGGGCGCAUCCUGAUAUCCUUUGUCAUCCAGAGCUUUCCCCUUUGUUGCCAAGAAGAGUGAUGGUCGUGAUGUGGACCAAAUCCUUUGAGUAACAAUUUCUUCAAGUCUGAUUAUGAAGGUGCAAAGCCUCAUUUUGAGAGU